AUGGUAGAGGCUUCCAAGAUCCCUGGAAGGUUCUACAGGAACUCAGGGCCAUGUGACAUUCUGUCUGUUGCUCUGGAAACAAGAGAGCCCCCUGGCCGUGCAAGGGGUAUAGGUGUUAAUGUCCCGCACAAGAGGGCUUUCACACUCAGCAAAAAAGAGAGGCUCAACAUGAAAAAAGCGAGGAGUGAAAUGAAGAAGAAUGAAUUGUAUGAAAGGUUUAGGAAGGAAAUUGAUCCGGUUGUUCGAAAGGAUCUUGAGCAGUCAAUGAUGAUUGGGAAGACUCUAACACUGACAGAUAGCUAG
rnacentral:rRNA from 1 species